CAUGCUCCAGUGCUCUGGGAGAGUUUAUAGUCCUGAGAGUUGAACACUGGAUGACUGACAGCUGUCCUUCAUCACAACAGAAGACACAGAAAUCCUCCUCAUCAAAAACAUGACUUUGAUCUGCGUCCUCAUCUGGACUCUCCUCUGCUGCUGCUUCACAGAGUCCAGAGGUCAGGUCACAGUGACUCAGCCUGCAGCAGUGAGAACUGAUCUGGGAGGAUCUGUCACCAUCAGAUGUAGAACCAGUCAGAAUGUUUAUGUUGACAGCAGCAGCUAUUUAUCCUGGUACCAACAGAAAGAUGGACAAACUCCUAAGCUGCUCAUUUAUUAUGCUAGCUCUCGAGAAUCAGGGAUUCCAAGUCGUUUUACAGGCAGUGGAUCAAACUCUGACUUCACUCUGACCAUCAGUGGAGUUCAGGCUGAAGAUGCUGCAGUUUAUUACUGUCAGAGUUUUCAUGUCAUCAGCAGCCAGUAUGUGUUCACACAGUGAAAAACUGUCGUACAAAAACCUCCCUCAGUCAGACUGAACUGAAACUGAACUGCAGCUGCAGAAACUGAUUCUGUUCAGUGAACAAACUAAAACACACAAACUGGUUUUAAUCCAGUAAAAUUAAUGGUAUUUUAACUUCAGCACUUUUACUACAGAAGGACAAGAAACUCUUUAAACUUUCAAACUGACAUUAUUCUGACUACAUUUUUAAAAUACUUUCCAAUAAUCAAGGCUUAAGCAGUUUAAGGCAUGUUUACAAUGACUGAAAAUAACUUUUGACCUUCAUGACCUCUGCCUCACAGU